rnacentral:rRNA from 1 species
UACGGAGGGUGCAAGCGUUAUCCGGAUUUACUGGGUUUAAAGGGUGUGUAGGCGGACUUUUAAGUCAGGGGUGAAAUCCCGAGGCUCAACCUCGGAACUGCCUUUGAUACUAUUGGUCUUGAAUGUUGUUGAGGUGGGCGGAACGGGUCAUGUAGCGGUGAAAUGCAUAGAUAUGACCCGGAACACCGAUUGCGAAGGCAGCCCGCUAAGCAACUAUUGACGCUGAGGCACGAAAGCGUAGGGAUCAAACAGG